rnacentral:rRNA from 1 species
AUGAUGCAUAGCCGAGUUGAGAGACUGAUCGGCCACAAUGGGACUGAGACACGGCCCAUACUCCUACGGGAGGCAGCAGUAGGGAAUCUUCCACAAUGGGCGCAAGCCUGAUGGAGCAACGCCGCGUGUGUGAUGAAGGGUUUCGGCUCGUAAAACACUGUUAUAAGAGAAGAACGGCACUGAGAGUAACUGUUCAGUGUGACGGUAUCUUACCAGAAAGGAACGGCUAAAUACGUGCCAGCAGCCGCGGUAAUACGUAUGUUCCAAGCGUUAUCCGGAUUUAUUGGGCGUAAAGCGAGCGCAGACGGUUAUUUAAGUCUGAAGUGAAAGCCCUCAGCUCAACUGAGGAAUGGCUUUGGAAACUGGAUGACUUGAGUGCAGUAGAGGAAAGUGGAACUCCAUGUGUAGCGGUGAAAUGCGUAGAUAUAUGGAAGAACACCAGUGGCGAAGGCGGCUUUCUGGACUGUAACUGACGUUGAGGCUCGAAAGUGUGGGUAGCAAACAGGAUUAGAUACCCUGGUAGUCCACACCGUAAACGAUGAGUGCUAGAUGUUCGAGGGUUUCCGCCCUUGAGUGUCGCAGCUAACGCAUAAGCACUCCGC